rnacentral:rRNA from 1 species
CAGCAGGCACGCAAAUUACCCACUCCCGGCACGGCGAGGUAGUGACGAAAAAUAACAAUACGAGACUCAUCCGAGGCUUCGUAAUUGGAAUGAGUACACUUCAAAUCCUUUAACGAGGAUCAAUUGGAGGGCAAGUCUGGUGCCAGCAGCCGCGGUAAUUCCAGCUCCAAUAGCGUAUAUUAAAGUUGCUGCGGUUAAAAAGCUCGUAGUUGGAUCUCAGUCUCGAUCGGACGGUCCAUUUCACGAUGGUACUGUCCGAAUCGGACAUUCCGCCGCCUUUCCUAACAUGCUCUUCAUUGAGUGUGGUGGGAGAGUGGUACGUUUACUUUGAAAAAAUUAGAGUGCUCAAAGCAGGCAAGUGCCUGAAUAGUCGUGCAUGGAAUGAUGGAAUAGGGCCUCGGUUCUAUUUUGUUGGUUUCCGGAACUCGAGGUAAUGAUUAAGAGGGACGGACGGGGGCAUUCGUAUUGCGACGUUAGAGGUGAAAUUCUUAGAUCGUCGCAAGACGAACUACUGCGAAAGCAUUUGCCAAGAAUGUUUUCAUUAAUCAAGAACGAAAGUCAGAGGUUCGAAGGCGAUCAGAUACCGCCCUAGUUCUGACCAUAAACGAUGCCAACUGGCGAUCCGUCGGUGUUAAUUCCAAUGACCCGGCGGGCAGCUUCCGGGAAACCAAAGUGUUUGAGUUCCGGGGGAAGUAUGGUUGCAAAGCUGGAACUUAAAGGAAUUGACGGAAGGGCACCACCAGGAGUGGAGCCUGUGGCUUAAUUUGACUCAACACGGGAAAUCUCACCAGGCCCGGACACCAGAAGGAUUGACAGAUUGAUAGCUCUUUCUUGAUUUGGUGGGUGGUGGUGCAUGGCCGUUCUUAGUUGGUGGAGCGAUUUGUCUGGGUAAUUCCGAUAACGAACGAGACCCUGGCCUACUUACUAGGCUGCGGAUCCUUUUGUCCGCAGAGUCUUCUUAGAGGGACAACU